rnacentral:tRNA from 1 species
CGCGUGGCCAAAUGGCAAGGCGUCUGGCUACGAACCAGAAGAUUGUGGGUUCGAUCCGGUCGCG